rnacentral:rRNA from 1 species
UGAGUUUGAUCCUGGCUCAGAUUGAACGCUGGCGGCAGGCUUAACACAUGCAAGUCGAGCGGAGAUGAGGUGCUUGCACCUUAUCUUAGCGGCGGACGGGUGAGUAAUGCUUAGGAAUCUGCCUAUUAGUGGGGGACAACAUUCCGAAAGGAAUGCUAAUACCGCAUACGUCCUACGGGAGAAAGCAGGGGAUCUUCGGACCUUGCGCUAAUAGAUGAGCCUAAGUCGGAUUAGCUAGUUGGUGGGGUAAAGGCCUACCAAGGCGACGAUCUGUAGCGGGUCUGAGAGGAUGAUCCGCCACACUGGGACUGAGACACGGCCCAGACUCCUACGGGAGGCAGCAGUGGGGAAUAUUGGACAAUGGGGGGAACCCUGAUCCAGCCAUGCCGCGUGUGUGAAGAAGGCCUUAUGGUUGUAAAGCACUUUAAGCGAGGAGGAGGCUACUGAGACUAAUACUCUUGGAUAGUGGACGUUACUCGCAGAAUAAGCACCGGCUAACUCUGUGCCAGCAGCCGCGGUAAUACAGAGGGUGCGAGCGUUAAUCGGAUUUACUGGGCGUAAAGCGUGCGUAGGCGGCUUUUUAAGUCGGAUGUGAAAUCCCCGAGCUUAACUUGGGAAUUGCAUUCGAUACUGGGAAGCUAGAGUAUGGGAGAGGAUGGUAGAAUUCCAGGUGUAGCGGUGAAUG